UACGAGGGGGGCAAAUGUUGUUCGGAAUUACUGGGCGUAAAGGGAGCGUAGGCGGGUGCUUAAGUUGGGAGUUUAAUUCCGGGGCCCAACCCCGGGCAGGCUCCCAAAACUGGGCAUCUUGAAUGGGACAGAGGCUGAUGGAAUUGGAGGUGUAGCGGUGGAAUGCGUAGAGAUCUCCAAGAACACCAGUUGCGAAGGCGGUCAGCUGGGUCCACAUUGACGCUGAGGCUCGAAAGCGUGGGGAGCAAACAGG
rnacentral:rRNA from 1 species